rnacentral:lncRNA from 1 species
GCUCUCUCUAUAGGUUCUGAUGGGCUGCCUCUGCAUUGCCAGGCGUUCCAAGAGCAUCAGCCAUGGUCUUGAUGCUGUUGCAAAGCCAACACUGUGUCUGUUGGGAGCUCUGGCUGGACAGAGCUGAGGUUAUGGCCAGAUUUAGACAGCUGGCAACAGUACUGUCAUCAGCUGGUGCAAGAUGAACUUCUGAAGACCCAGAGUAGCCCAAUAGUGAUCAGAUAGGUGAGGUUUGUCAUCACUGCAAUGGAGCAUUAAAAGAUCAUUUUGUCAGUUUUGAGAGGAGGAGGGGUUGUGCCUUUGCUAAUGAAAAAAGGAUUGGGGUCCUCAUUGUUACACUGAUGGAGAUUUAGGAAAUAUUUUAAGGAUUAUUGGAGUUGUAAUGAUGAACAAAUCAUUUACACUGUGGCUUGAAACUGUGAGCCUGCCCUGAACUGCUUCAGGCUUCUAACAUGCUAGGCUUCCUAUAUUAAUUAUUAACAUCACUAAAACACUCCAGAGAUUGGCCUGG